GGCGCGGAGAUCUGUGCACGUCACCGUUACGUUCUGCGCGUCCCCUGUCUGACGCAUCCGCCUUUGUCAGCUCCUCGACAUACCAUUGGCUGGUAGCUGCCUAGCCUCCCGGAAGUGCGGACAUUGCUCUGGGCGUCUCGGCGGUGAGUGAGGUUUUGGUGGGGCUGGAGCUCGCGCAUCGGGUCUCUGUCAGCGACGCUGUCCGGCAGCUCGGCGUCCCGGACGGUGCUGUGCGGUGCGCCCGCAGCCUGCCCUCGUCCCGGGUCUCGGCACCGGCCUUCGUCCAUCGACCCCGGUGUCUUCCUCCCUCCCUUCCGUGGCGGCGGUUUGGUCGUCAUCCUUGGACCCGCACGUUUAGGAACUCAAGCCCGGGACAAUGGUGUGCAUUCCCUGUAUCGUCAUUCCAGUGCUGCUCUGGGUCUU